GCAUAUCAAUAAGCGGAGGAAAAGAAACCAACAGGGAUUGCCCUAGUAACGGCGAGUGAAGCGGCAACAGCUCAAAUUUGAAAUCUGGCGCAAGCCCGAGUUGUAAUUUGUAGAGGAUGCUUCUGGGUAGCGGCCGGUCUAAGUUCCUUGGAACAGGACGUCACAGAGGGUGAGAAUCCCGUAUGUGAUCGGCGCGCGCCCUCUACGUAGCUCCUUCGACGAGUCGAGUUGUUUGGGAAUGCAGCUCUAAAUGGGAGGUAAAUUUCUUCUAAAGCUAAAUACUGGCCAGAGACCGAUAGCGCACAAGUAGAGUGAUCGAAAGAUGAAAAGCACUUUGGAAAGAGAGUUAAAAAGCACGUGAAAUUGUUGAAAGGGAAGCGCUUGCAACCAGACUUGCGGGUGGUGUUCCGCCGGGCUUCUGCCCGGUCUACUCACCGCCCGCAGGCCAUCAUCGUCUGGGGCCGCCGGAGAAACCGUCAGGAAUGUGGCUCCCUCGGGAGUGUUAUAGCCUGUCGACAUGCGGCGCGCCCCGGGCGAGGUCCGCGCAAUGCAAGGAUGAUGGCGUAAUGGUUGUCAGCGGCCCGUCUUGAAACACGGACCAAGGAGUCUAACAUCUAUGCGAGUGUUCGGGUGUCAAACCCCUACGCGUAAUGAAAGUGAACGGAGGUGGGAGCUUCGGCGCACCAUCGACCGAUCCUGAUGUCCUCGGAUGGAUUUGAGUAAGAGCAUAGCUGUUGGGACCCGAAAGAUGGUGAACUAUGCCUGAAUAGGGUGAAGCCAGAGGAAACUCUGGUGGAGGCUCGCAGCGGUUCUGACGUGCAAAUCGAUCGUCAAAUUUGGGUAUAGGGGCGAAAGACUAAUCGAACCAUCUAGUAGCUGGUUCCUGCG
rnacentral:rRNA from 1 species